UUCUCCUCUGUGAUGUGCUAACUCCUACUGCAACUCCUGCUUCUCACAGAGGAAUCCAAGAAAGUUUCCAGGGGGAGGAGCAUUUCUCUUCUCUGCAGUGUGAGUCACAUGGGAGCAGCAUGACAUCAUCGGCAAGAUUUUCCUUUCACUUAUUGGCUAGCAGAAGAAACCUUUUCAUUGGCUGUGUGUCUGUGGCUUCUGUUUUUUUUCAAUAAACUUUAUUGCAACUGCA